rnacentral:rRNA from 1 species
GACGAACCGUACGAACGUUAUUCGGAAUCACUGGGCUUAAAGGGUGCGUAGGCGGCGCGACAAGUUGGGUGUGAAAUCCCUCGGCUCAACCGAGGAACUGCGCCCAAAACUGUCGUGCUCGAGGGAGACAGAGGUGAGCGGAACUUAGGGUGGAGCGGUGAAAUGCGUUGAUAUCCUAAGGAACACCGGUGGCGAAGGCGGCUCACUGGGUCUCUUCUGACGCUGAGGCACGAAAGCUAGGGUAGCGAACGGG